UAAGGCCAGAAGGAGCAAUCAGGGAGUGUGCUUUUUCUAACAUGUAGCAUGUUGGCCAAUACUGGGGAUUUCUGAAAGUAGACACAGAAAAAACCUGUGGCUGGAGCUGGAUGGGCAACGGCACGACUACAGUCUGCUGUCUGGUUUGGAYGGAGAUGGGAACGUAUAACACAGGCUCACAAAGUUUCAUCCGCUGAGAGAGAUCUCCGGAGAAGUYGCCUUAUCUUUUGGCUGCGGGCUCUGCUGCUGCUCUGCAAACACACAGCGCAGAAURCUGAUGUGCUGCCUCCCCUACACCUGCUGCGUCGGCCUUCAUUUGUACACCGGGCCAUUUCAUAGACCGGAGAUGAUACGGGUAGCUCCUUUGCUAAAGCAUCAAAAUGAACCAGUUACCCCYGUCCUUGUGAUACUUGGAGCUGCAGUGAUUUCAAAGGCUUCUUAAAGCAGAGUUUACCAGAGUUGUAUAAAUCUUUGCUU
rnacentral:lncRNA from 1 species